UACGGAGGGUGCAAGCGUUAUCCGGAUUCACUGGGUUUAAAGGGUGCGUAGGAGGGCAGGUAAGUCAGUGGUGAAAUCUCCGAGCUUAACUUGGAAACUGCCGUUGAUACUAUCUGCCUUGAAUAUUGUGGAGGUGAGCGGAAUAUGUCGUGUAGCGGUGAAAUGCUUAGAUAUGACAUAGAACACCAAUUGCGAAGGCAGCUGGCUACACAAUUAUUGACACUGAGGCUCGAAAGCGUGGGGAUCAAACAGG
rnacentral:rRNA from 1 species